AAACAGAAUUAGCUAAAACAUCUUGCUAACAGAUCGCCAACACAAACGUGCAUACAAAAUUACAAAUAUGACAUUGCAAACAGCAGAACAUAUCUUAUUUAUGCUGGUCGUUUCGUUUUGUAUUAACUAUUAAUACCGUAUUUAAUGGAAUAUUAUUGAAUGGAUAUUUUUAAUUUUGGCAAGUACUGUAGUGUAAAUUAUUUACGAGAAAAUGUCAUAUUCCAC